rnacentral:rRNA from 1 species
CCUACGGGAGGCAGCAGUGGGGAAUAUUGGACAAUGGGCGAAAGCCUGAUCCAGCCAUGCCGCGUGUGUGAAGAAGGCCUUCGGGUUGUAAAGCACUUUCAGUGGGGAAGAAAGCCUUGGGGCUAAUACCCUCGAGGAAGGACAUCACCCACAGAAGAAGCACCGGCUAACUCCGUGCCAGCAGCCGCGGUAAUACGGAGGGUGCGAGCGUUAAUCGGAAUUACUGGGCGUAAAGCGCGCGUAGGCGGUCUGAUAAGCCGGUUGUGAAAGCCCCGGGCUCAACCUGGGAACGGCAUCCGGAACUGUCAGGCUAGAGUGCAGGAGAGGAAGGUAGAAUUCCCGGUGUAGCGGUGAAAUGCGUAGAGAUCGGGAGGAAUACCAGUGGCGAAGGCGGCCUUCUGGACUGACACUGACGCUGAGGUGCGAAAGCGUGGGUAACAAACAGGAUUAGAUACCCGGUAUC